ACUUGUUGUGGCCUUGAUACAUUCGUGUGACGCACAGUGCAUUAUUCUAUUGUGCUGUAUUUGUGUUCUGUGUGAUUACGUACAGGAUACGAAACCAAAAGAGGAAGGAAAAUACCUGUACAGAUGUGAUGGGUGUGGAAAGGAAAAGAGAUCUGCUGUG